AGCUCCAAUAGCGUAUAUUAAAGUUGUUGCAGUUAAAAAGCUCGUAGUUGGACUUCAAGAACAGCAAUUAGGACACUAAUUGCGUUCUACCAGUCUCUGACUGUUACUGUGAGAAAAUUAGAGUGUUUCAAGCAGGCUUUUGCAGGAAUACAUUAGCAUGGAAUAACGAAUGUGUCUACAAUUUGGUUGAUUGUAGGUUA
rnacentral:rRNA from 1 species